UUGAGCCGUAUGCGGUGAAAGUCGCACGUACGGUUCUUAGGGGGCCCUAGGCCAGCAAUGGCCUGGGGGCUACCCGAC
rfam:Pseudomonas taeanensis MS-3 contig_08, whole genome shotgun sequence.